GGACGAACGCUGGCGGCGUGCCUAAUACAUGCAAGUAGAACGCUGAAGGAGGAGCCUGCUUCUCCGGAUGAGUUGCGAACGGGUGAGUAACGCGUAGGUAACCUGCCUGGUAGCGGGGGAUAACUAUUGGAAACGAUAGCUAAUACCGCAUAACAGUAGAUGUUGCAUGACAUUUGCUUAAAAGGUGCAAUUGCAUCACUACCAGAUGGACCUGCGUUGUAUUAGCUAGUUGGUGAGGUAACGGCUCACCAAGGCGACGAUACAUAGCCGACCUGAGAGGGCGAUCGGCCACACUGGGACUGAGACACGGCCCAGACUCCUACGGGAGGCAGCAGUAGGGAAUCUUCGGCAAUGGACGGAAGUCUGACCGAGUAACGCCGCGUGAGUGAAGAAGGUUUUCGGAUCGUAAAGCUCUGUUGUAAGAGAAGAACGAGUGUGAGAGUGGAAAGUUCACACUGUGACGGUAUCUUACCAGAAAGGGACGGCUAACUACGUG
rnacentral:rRNA from 1 species